CAAGAUAAUAAUUUUUUGAUGCGACUCUGGCCGACUGCCCGUCACGCCUUUCCUACCCCCUGAAAAAAAUCACAAACAAAGAAAUUUGUGAAAUAUAAGUAUGUAGUGCAUUCGGUUAUAAACGUUUUUUAAGUUUGUCGCGUGCGACAUGGAUAUAAGUCGACCGAUCUCUCCCGUUUCGACUUCCGUUUCAACACAUUUCCGCUUUUUACACAGGCAGUAACCGAACAUUGCCGAUUUAUUUACAUAACAGAACAGCAACAUUCGGACGGCUUUUCACUCUGUGCAAAGCACACCAAUACAUACUUAUUAUAGAUCAUUAACGCUUGACCGGUAGUCAAACAAAUUAUGGAUGAUGAGUCCAGUAAUGGGAAAUUUGCCAUCUGACCGCUUAAAUGGAGUCCAUUCGCAACGAAGUAUCGAAACCACUGCAAGUCACCAUAUACAACUUAUGCAUCAAUCUUUGUCUGCCUUGGUUCAACAGCAAUUCAUUUAGAACUCGUAGCC